ensembl:lncRNA
GUGGGGGCGAGUGAAAGUGGUUUUGGGGGCAGUUCGUGCGAGUCGGCCCCCCACGUUGAGAAUGCCCUGAAGUUUGUCUCCUGGUCAAGUUCAAUAGCGACUGUCUGGCUAUGUCUGGAAGCCCAGUGAUUUGCAUUGCUUGAAACUGGGUGUUCGGCUAAGUCCCCUCGGCACCCCCACCUCACCCUCCCGACCGUGGGAGAAAGGGUGCGGGCGUUCGCAUCUUUGCCUCGGAAAGGUUUCUUACAGGAGGUGGAUUUAGGGGGCAACUCGCGUCUAGUUGUGAACGAGCGUUUAGGGAAUCCGAAACUCGGGGAACCCUGGUGAUAGUCUACUCCCCGCCCCCGCACAACAUGCAUAGACACACUGCACAUCACAUGUACACACAAACACACACACGCACACGCCACUCCUCCCGCCCCGAUUUGCUUCCGGGAAAACAAGUCCGAGAGCAGCAGACACUUGCCAAAAGUCACGCAGCGAAUAAAGAAAGUGGAGUUAUGCACUCCAGAAAUUAUGCAAAUCAUCCAGUGGCACAAAAUUCCUAUCAGAACCGCUUUUACUGCCUCCCCCGGCGACGUUCCCGGCCCGCCAACGUUUCUUUCGUCCUUACAAGGCCAGCUUCCACCCGCUGCUUUUGUGUAAAUAAAGCCUGGCCUUCUGCCUGCAGGUUGCCGCCAGAAGCCGGCCGGUGGGGGAAGGGUUCGGAACCGGUACGACCGCCUCAGCCGCGCCGGGAGAGGCCGAGAGUCCGCCACGCUCAGCCGUCGCGCGGGGGCGGUACUCCGGGCCCCCCAGGAUGAGCCGAGCCGAGAAACCCAGCACGAGAAAGUCCCCACCCACCUGCACCCUCUUCCGUGGGUCACCCCGCGCGUGGCAGGCCCUUGACAAAUAUCGUCCUGAAUUCUCCCCGCGAUCCUGGGAGUAUCCUCCCCAUUUUAUAGACGAGAGACUGAGGCUUACCAAGUGUAAGGGGCUUGACCGAGGUCCCAUAGGCGAAAAAAGUGGCAAACCAAGAACUUCUAACCGAAUAUAUCUGGCUGCAAAAUCCAGUCUUCUCCCAUCCCGCCGGUCACCAGUGAGACUGUAAAGGUCUUAAAGGAGAAGAAUAAAAAAAAAAAUAACCACACGAAUCAGAUUAACAGAUCGUAAGGAAUUGAAAGGGCCUUCCAGAGCUGCUGGUAUUUCAAACAAGUGGACUCGAACCACAGGAUAAGUAACAAACUACUUUUCCUGGGUGACCAAUCAUACUUUUUUUUUAAUUAAAAAUAUAUUUAUUAAAAUAGAUUACGAUGGAGAAGAAUAUAAUUUUCAAAAUAAUGAUAGCUGAAAACAGAAGACUUAAAAGAAAUGUCAGGCUGUUUCCACCUCGCACACCUUUCGUUCGAUUGCACACACAUUCUUGACAUCAAGUACAUAAACAGGCAAACUGAGGCCCGAAACCAGUCCCACUGAGAGCGAGAGGCCGAGUGGGAGGAGAACCGAGAUUUCCGGGCUCUCGGCCUGGGGUGCUUUCGGCUGGGGGCGGGGGUCCUGUUUGUAAACAGGUGUCCUCGGACAGCCACUGCCGAUUUUUGUCACUCUGCCAACCGGAGGGACGAUUCUGAGUAAUCGCUAGCAGUCAGCGCAGCUGGGGCUAAAAGCGAAAGGGACGCGCGCGCGACGGGCCCGGGAGGGCGACGGGUAAAGCGCGCAGGCGGGGCCGCCGCCGGGUUCCCGCGGGGCGACCGUGCGGUAGGCCUCCUCCCGGACCGCUCUCGACGGCCCCGCCCCGCGCAGGCGGCGGGCGCUGCAGGCCCCGCCCCUGCUCCCAGCCCAGGGGACCCAUCCCGGACCUGAGAAUCCCGGUCCCAAACCCCUCCUCCCAAAAGGGGCUAAAAGGUGCAGGGGGCUUUUGACCAGCCCGUCCAGCUUCAGGUCCUGGGACCGGCGGCCCUGUCCUUGCGCGUGGGAACAGUCAGGUACUUAGGCUUGACCUUAAAUCCGCCCCUGGUAUUUGCUAACACUAAGGUCUUAAGAAAAUGACUUAAACUCUCUCUCUCUCAGUUUCUGCAUCUGUAAAAUGGGAGUUAGCGAGUCUUACCUCAUGUAAUUGCUGUGAGAAGUAAAUGUGUACCUAGCUGUGAAGGUCUAGAACAUUAAAAAGAAAAAAACAAUUAAAUGCUGUUUUACUGUUAUUGCUAGGCGGGCCUGGGUGGGACUCUCAGGCCAAUUCAGAACUGGAUGACCUGGGCAGAUGGACUUUCUUAGUUCCCCCACCUGGAAAAGACAGCUUCAUUACAAUUACCAUCACAGGGUGGGGAUGAGGACAGACGGCCUCCCCAGCAUCUGGCAAGACCACACGUGGUUAUGUUUGCAACUCUUAUUAUUUGCCAUCAUUGUCUUAAGCAUUUUGCACUUAUUAGUGCCUUUCAUCCUACACAAUUACAGUAUGACAGAGAUAUUACUAUUUUCCAUUUCACAAAUAGGAAACUGAGAC